rnacentral:tRNA from 1 species
UGGGAUAUAGCUCGAAGGUCGAGCAAAUGGCUGUUAACCAUUAGGAGAGAGUUCGAUUCUCUCUAUCCCAGC